CAAGGUCCAACAUUUCAGCUUAUGGAGACAAUGACAUUGAUGUAAAAGAAAAGAAUGGAGCCAUUAAAGAUUUUGAACCUAGACCUAAUAUUUCAGCUUAUGGAGAAAAUGUCAUUGAUGCUGAUGAAAAGAAGAAACCAGUCAAAGAUUUUGAACCAAGACCCAAUAUUUCAGCUUAUGGAGACAAUGACAUUGAUGUUAAGGAAAAUAAGGGAGCCACCAACGAUUUUGAGCCAAGACCCAACAUUUCAGCUUAUGGAGACAAUGUCAUUGAUGAUAAUAAAAUGAAGAAACCAGUUGAAUAUUUCCAACCAAGACCAAACAUUUCAGCUUAUGGAGAAAAUGACAUUGAUGUUAAAAAAAGUAAAGAUUUUGAACCAAGACCCAACAUUUCAGCUUUUGGAGACAAUGACAUUGAUGUUAAUGAAAAGAAGGGAGAUACUAAAGAUUUCGAACCAAGACCAAAUAUUUCAGCUUAUGGAGACAAUGCCAUUGAUGAUGAUGAAAUGAAGAAACCAAUUAAAGAUUUUAAACCAAAACCAAACAUUUCGGCUUAUGGAGACAAUGUCAUUGAUGCUGAUGAAAUGAAGAAACCAGUCGAAGGUUUUGAACCAAGACCAAACAUUUCAACUUAUGGAGACAAUGUCAUUGAUGUUGAUGAAAUGAAGAAACAACAAGUCAAAGAUUUUGAACCAAGAACCAACAUUUCAGCUUAUGGAGACAAUGACAUUGAUGUUAAAGAAAAGAAGGGAGUCACCAACGAUUUUGAGCCAAGAC
rnacentral:lncRNA from 1 species